rnacentral:lncRNA from 10 species
UGGGGUCUCCCUAUGUUGCUGAUCGUCCCACCUCGGCCCCCCACUUCCUCCCGUCGGUCCUGUACUGUGACUGAAGGAAAGGCACGGAGGUAAGAUGGAGUAAGCAAGUUCCACCUGCCUCUCCUGUGGAAUGCAGCUAUAAAAUCUGGACGCAACUAAUGGAGCAGAUACUUGAGGUUUCUGAGCAGGAAAUAGCAGCAGGUGGAUUAGGAAAGACCAGUGAUAUGGUUUGGCUGUGUCCCCACCCAAAUCUCAUCUUGAAUUGUAGCUCCCAUAAUUCCCACGUGUUGUGGGAGGGACCUGGUGGGAGAUAAUUGAAUCACGGGGGCGGUUCCUCCCAUACUGUUCUCAUGGUAACUAGUAAGUCUCACGAGAUCUAACGGUUUUAUAAAAGGGGGAAACCACUUUUGCUUGGUUCUCAUUUUCUCUCUUGCCUGUCACCAUGUAAGACAUGUCUUUGCCUUCUGCCACGAUUGUGAGGCCUCCCCAGCCAUGUGGAACUGUGAGUCCAUUAAACCUCUUUUUCUUUAUAAAUUACCCAGUCUCAGAUAUGUCUUUAUCAGCAGUGUGAAAAUGGACUAAUACAACCAGAAUUCAAAGUACCACUGAAUGGCUAUGAGUUACCCAUUGGUUGUCCCCAGAUGUCUCUCGGUCUGGACAAGCUAUGACAAGACAUAGACAAGCUGAUUCUAAAAUGCAUAUGGAAAAGCAAAGACACU